UGCAAUACAGUGAGAAUAUCCAUCUUCGUCGUAAACAUACUGGCAAUGAGAUCAUUUUAAGCACUGAAGGAAUAUAUAUGUUAUAAUGACACAAAGAUAUAACAGUAUAUGGAAUACACCCUUGCAUACAUCUUCUCCUUCAGCUACAAAGGAUACCACCUCGGAUCUCUCAUCGUUAUUGGACUGAAUGAGGAAACAGUUAAGCAUACAGGAAUUAUCUAGAAGAAUUAAUGGAGCGACAUGUAGGAUCACAUACUACUAAACUUGGUCAGUGUCAUCUACACUCGGUCAUUCAGUCUCCCCUCAUUAGAUUUUCUAAAAGAGAGCCUCCUCUCUGAAUUCUAUUAACACAAACCAAUUGUUCAUCUACAUCAUAAAGAAAACGAAGAAGGGAAGAAGAAACAGAAAUAGGAACAUUCAGGUAACCCCAGAGGGCACCCAAAACCCAUAGAUAUCUAGGAUCUGGAGCUUGCCCUUUCAGCGGCUGCGCAACAGAGACAAGAUAUUUCAUUGCUACUCCCUCCGUUCCAAAAUAGAUGACUCAACUUUGUAACUUUGUACUAAAGUUAAUACAAAGUAGACUCAUCUAUUUUGGAACGAAGGGAGUAGAUGAGAGUGAACAUACUCGCAAAAGCAGUCACCAACAAGCAGGAACAGUCCACAAAUGGCAAGAGUGGCUUUAAAAGUUUGAUUUCUCUGUGCACUUUAAUUGCUUUUAAGCUGCCAGUCAAACGACUUCAGGUCGCCAUCUUUGAGAUGCUCAGAAGACUUGAUUUUUGUCACUUGCUCGAAGAGCUUUACUCCCCAAAUCAGCGCUAAUCUGCAAAAUUGACCAUGAGUUUAACCAAAUAACAAACCACAUGAAUCAGAACAAAAGUAUCAGACACCGCUUUUAUUCUCAAAACAGGCCUCAUUCAUAAAUCUCCAAAUCUUCCAUAAUACAGCAGCCAACCCCACUGCGAUACAAAAAAUUGUCAUGGUGUUUUCAAUCUAAGCCCUCAGAACCUAAAGAAGUCAUGAUUAGUAUCAGGUACAAUUUUCAGAUUAAAAGUGAACUGCAAAAUGGUUCAGAUCAACUAAGUAUCCCAUCUCCGCCAUGUAACUAACAUGCUUUAUUCCUGUUCCACAUUUGCAAAGUAUCUCCCCAAAGGGUCCUUGUAAAUCGCUCUGAUUCCCAUAUGAUUUAAUUUUAAUGUAGCUGAUUUGAACAUUAACAAAAUAGUCACCGAAAUAAGUUUGACAUAUUGAACAGAAAUAUGGUUUGUGGAUAAUAUGCUUGGGACGGAUUCGAUAAGAGAACAACAAUCAAAUAAUAUGACUUGUACCACUCGCACUUAAAACUGACUAAUAGAAAGGAAACCAGGAAUAAUUUUCCGACAAUGUGAUCAUCAGCGAUUCAACAUCAAACACAGCUAACCCUACAGUUUGCGCUCAGUAUGAUCAGGACGAAUUCGACAUGACAACCACAAUUGAACAUGACGACUUGCAGGAUUCACACAUAAACUACAUAACGGAUAGGAAGCCAACUUAAUAAACUGAUAUACAGUUCUCUAGCCACAUUAUCAGGAUGAGCUGAAUGAGAAGUUGAGAACAACCACAAUUGAUCACAUUUCAGUUGCAACCUUGAAGCUUAAACUGCUCAACAGAAACAAAACAACCUGAUAUUAGUAGCUCAGAAGAAGCCAACAGCAGCAGACUAACGAUGAUGGAUUUGUCCAUUUUGCAUCGCAUCACCAUUGAGAGCCACAUCAGAGAUCAGUGAGUCCUUGCUAGCGAUAACAAUCUGCCACGAUCUGAAAAAUUACCAAGCACAAAACUCAUAACCAACCGACUGAUCCUUUUGUCCACGGAAAUGUACACAACAUAAGUGCUUGUAAUCCAGCAUAAGGAUGAAUUUUGUCAUAAAUUUUGAGGUUUUUGCCUUGAGGAGCCAGACCGAUUUAUUGGUAGAUGGCCGAUAAAUCAUUUAUCAAUAAAUGCACCAAACCAAUUAACACACACAUAUGAAAUUCUUCUUGAAUGGAAUUUUAAUGACAACAUAUGCUCUUACAUUGCAUUGCUUACUGUAGUGAACUGUCUGGCUCUGAUCAACCUGAUUGCUUGCAUGCUAUUUAUAUUUCUGUAAAAUGUCACAAGAAUAAACACGAGAGGAAAAAAAGUCGCAUGUCGGAACAAUUGAGCUAACUUGAACCCGGCUAAGCCAUUGUUGUAUGGCCUCAAUCUGCACUGGCUUACUCUUCUUCGCAAUUAUACGUGACUGAUGUUCUAUUUUGUUCCUUGUCAGUAGUUCUACCUGAUACAACAUCUAGAGAUAGAACACAUAUAUUUUUUGCUGCUUAAGCGUGAAAACCCACUAUCAAAGAAACAUGGUAUGUGCUCCUGCUAUUGCUAUUUGCAACAACCACAUUAGCUAGCCGGCUGGAAUAACUAAAUUGAACUAACUUUUAUGGUCAAAUAGCUGAUCUACUUUGCAGGACAGUAGUCUAAUUUAGCAGUCAGAAAUUCCCAGGUUUUCAAAGCUUAGAGAAGGACAAGUUAGUGACCUCAUCUUAGACCAAAAUGUGUAGCUAAAUCCUCCAUAAUAACUUGCUUGAAACCAGUUCACAGUGCAUUAGGGAAAUGAUGUCAAGGAUCUAGAGAAGUACACUCAUGGAUGGAAUCUACAUAAUAAAUUUUAUCUUGACACGACGCAAGGUAUGAAGAUAAUUUGUCGAUUCAUUAAAUGAAUUUCAGGAUAGGUUACAUGCCAGUGGAGAGUUUGAGAACCGAGGACAAACUCGACAACAUCGGAUAGGUAAGUUGAUGUGAUUUCCAUCCUCUCUAGGUUCUCCACUGGGCAAUGCACAAAUUAUGGCGGCAUCGCAAUCUACUUUAAACCACCAUCGGAACACCUCAUCCUACGCUGCAUCAACUAUCCGUUAGGUUGCAGUCAUGACCACCACAGAGCCAUGUUGGCCUUUUUUUAUGGUGCUGCAUCAACUAUCAUAAUGCGAUGAAGACGAUCUGCCCCUACCCCUCUGUUGCAUCAACUAUCAUAAAUAGAUUAAUCUGCUGCCAACAAUAGAUGUUGGAUUCCUGUGUGGCCAGAACUUGAAAGCAGAUGACAUUGAAGAUUUCCAAGGUCGGAGAAGAAUAUGAACAUAGCUGGAGAAGAUUGAUUGCAUCAUACCCUGUUUUUUUAGAUCAAUUCCGGCCUGCCCAGCCUUGAUCUUGCAAGCAACCGCCCUCUCCAUCCCCGUCCGCGAGCCCGCCGACGCCACCCUCCAAUCCCCUUACUCGAGCCCACUCUUCUCGAGCACAACACACCAUCCCAUCCUCUGCCUCCCACGAGGUCACCGACGCGUAGAUCGGCCCGCUCGAGCUUCGGGAGCCGUGAACGGCGAAGAAGCCGCGGGUGAGGAGGAGAUGGGAUUGGGAGGCAUAAGGCGCCCGGCGGUGCGCACUGAGGCGGGACGGGGCAGGAGGCGGCCAGCGGCGCGCGGGGCGUGGUGGGGAGGUGGGUGGGGCGCCAGAUCGGGUAGAGGAGGUGGAGGGCGCGCGGAUCCGGGGAGGGAGGCGCCGGAUCUAGCCGGUGGAGGUCCCGUGGCGGCGUUCGAACCUCCAAGGUGAGCUCGAGGACUGGGCAUCAUGGCGCUGGCGCUGAGCUC
rnacentral:lncRNA from 1 species